AAGAGAAAGAGCCGAGUAACUACUAAUCUGUCUUCGUGCCCAGCUCCUCCAUUCUCUAUUGACUACUAUGCUUAACACAAGCACCCGAGCCUAGCAUUGGAAUUCAAUAAGUCAGUCCACUACCCUUACUUUGGGCAACACCUUUCAUAGCUUCCUCGCCUCUGUAAACAAACAACUCCUCUGAUCUUUCUUCCGAUCUAGCUUCUGCUGACUUGAGAACUGCUGAUGAAUUCUCUGAUCUACUUCCUUCGCACUCUCCUUGAUUCACUCUUUUAGCCUCGCCAUAAAGAAGGGAACCGUCCAGAUAGGGGUGUCAAAUGCACUAGAACAGCACUUUAGUCGUUUGAUGGGAAAUCCAAUGAAAAACAUCUUGGCGAUGAGAAAUACAGCAUUUUGGGCCUAUAUCUUUAGGGUUCCUUCCCUGAACUAAUUGAACUAGCUUCCUCUCCUCGACUUAAGCUUAUGCUCUUUGAACUCAAACAAAACAGGAUGUCUUUACCACUCCUAUUGCUCUUCAAACAAUCACUCUUCUCUUCCCUUGGAAACCCGACACCUCUCAUAAGUGUUAACCUCGACCCGACCUAAACAAAUACAGAAUUCCACUUCACCAAAACCCGUUAAACAACACUGCCGCGUAACGUUAGUAGUUACUUGGCGGGUAGCACAUGGAUUUCCCCUAAUAGGCCGAUCGAUUUUCAUGAAAAGUUUAAGAAACCCCGUAUUUUGAGACGCAAAGUUCUUUUCCCUCCUGAGGCCCCUGAUUGAAAUGAUCUUAUUGACGAAACCCCGUAUUUUGGAUAGCCACUCGAAUUUCCCUCCUAACGAGGUCCAAAAGAAUUCUCUUU
rnacentral:lncRNA from 1 species